GAUGAACGCUGGCGGCGUGCUUAACACAUGCAAGUCGAACGGAAAGGCUCCUGCUUGCAGGGGUACUCGAGUGGCGAACGGGUGAGUAACACGUGGGUGAUCUGCCCUGCACUUCGGGAUAGGCCUGGGAAACUGGGUCUAAUACCGGAUAGGACGAUGGUUUGGAUGCCAUUGUGGAAAGUUUUUCGGUGUGGGAUGAGCUCGCGGCCUAUCAGCUUGUUGGUGGGGUAAUGGCCUACCAAGGCGUCGACGGGUAGCCGGCCUGAGAGGGUGUACGGCCACAAUGGGACUGAGAGACGGCCCAGACUCCUACGGGAGGCAGCAGUGGGGAAUAUUGCACAAUGGGCGCAAGCCUGAUGCAGCGACGCCGCGUGGGGGAUGACGGCCUUCGGGUUGUAAACUCCUUUCGCUAGGGACGAAGCGCAAGUGACGGUACCUGGAGAAGAAGCACCGGCUAACUACGUG
rnacentral:rRNA from 1 species